rnacentral:rRNA from 1 species
UAGGGAAUCUUCCGCAAUGGGCGAAAGCCUGACGGAGCAACGCCGCGUGAGUGAUGAAGGUCUUCGGAUCGUAAAACUCUGUUAUUAGGGAAGAACAAAUGUGUAAGUAACUAUGCACGUCUUGACGGUACCUAAUCAGAAAGCCACGGCUAACUACGUGCCAGCAGCCGCGGUAAUACGUAGGUGGCAAGCGUUAUCCGGAAUUAUUGGGCGUAAAGCGCGCGUAGGCGGUUUUUUAAGUCUGAUGUGAAAGCCCACGGCUCAACCGUGGAGGGUCAUUGGAAACUGGAAAACUUGAGUGCAGAAGAGGAAAGUGGAAUUCCAUGUGUGGCGGUGAAAUGCGCAGCGAUAUGGAGGAACACCAGUGGCGAAGGCGACUUUCUGGUCUGUAACUGACGCUGAUGUGCGAAAGCGUGGGAAUCAAACAGG